AUUGAACGCUGGCGGCAUGCCUUACACAUGCAAGUCGAACGGCAGCACGGGAGCAAUCCUGGUGGCGAGUGGCGAACGGGUGAGUAAAGUAUCGGAACGUGCCCAGUCGUGGGGGUUAACGUAGCGAAAGUUACGCUAAUACCGCAUACGAUCCAUGGAUGAAAGCGGGGGAUCGCAAGACAUCGAGCGACUGGAGCGGCCGAUAUCAGAUUAGGUAGGUGGGGGGGUAAAGGCUCACCAAGCCGACGAUCUGUAGCUGGUCUGAGAGGCCGACCAGCCAACCUGGGACUGAGACACGGCCCAGACUCCUACGGGAGGCAGCAGUGGGGAAUUGUGGACAAUGGGCGAAAGCCUGAUCCAGCCAUGCCGCGUGCAGGAUGAAGGCCUUCGGGUUGUAAACUGCUUUUGUACGGAACGAAAAGGUUUGGCCUAAUAAGCUGAGCUCAUGACGGUACCGUAAGAAUAAGCACCGGCUAACUACGUGCCAGCCGCCGCGGUAA
rnacentral:rRNA from 1 species